CCUACGGGUGGCAGCAGUGGGGAAUAUUGGACAAUGGGCGAAAGCCUGAUCCAGCCAUGCCGCGUGUGUGAAGAAGGCCUUCGGGUUGUAAAGCACUUUCAGUGGGGAAGAAAGCCUUGGGGCUAAUACCCUCGAGGAAGGACAUCACCCACAGAAGAAGCACCGGCUAACUCCGUGCCAGCAGCCGCGGUAAUACGGAGGGUGCGAGCGUUAAUCGGAAUUACUGGGCGUAAAGCGCGCGUAGGCGGUCUGAUAAGCCGGUUGUGAAAGCCCCGGGCUCAACCUGGGAACGGCAUCCGGAACUGUCAGGCUAGAGUGCAGGAGAGGAAGGUAGAAUUCCCGGUGUAGCGGUGAAAUGCGUAGAGAUCGGGAGGAAUACCAGUGGCGAAGGCGGCCUUCUGGACUGACACUGACGCUGAGGUGCGAAAGCGUGGGUAGCAAACAGGAUUAGAUACCCUAGUAGCC
rnacentral:rRNA from 1 species